GAUGAACGCUAGCUACAGGCUUAACACAUGCAAGUCGAGGGGCAGCGCAGUGUAGCAAUACAUGGGCGGCGACCGGCGCACGGGUGCGUAACGCGUAUCCAACCUUCCCGUUACUCAGGGAUAGCCUUCCGAAAGGGAGAUUAAUACCUGAUGGUGUUCAAAUUCCGCAUGUUAUUUGAACUAAAGAUUUAUCGGUAACGGAUGGGGAUGCGUGACAUUAGGUAGAUGGCGGGGUAACGGCCCACCAUGCCUACGAUGUCUAGGGGUUCUGGGGGGAAGGUCCCCCACACUGGAACUGAGACACGGUCCAGACUCCUACGGGAGGCAGCAGUGAGGAAUAUUUGUCAAUGGUCGGAAGACUGAACCAGCCAAGUAGCGUGAAGGAUGAAGGUUCUAUGGAUUGUAAACUUCUUUUAUACGGGAAUAAAACCACCUACGUGUAGGUGCUUGUAUGUACCGUAUGAAUAAGCAUCGGCUAACUCCGUGCCAGCCGCCGCGGUAACAC
rnacentral:rRNA from 1 species